rnacentral:rRNA from 1 species
GACGAACGCUGGCGGCGUGCUUAACACAUGCAAGUCGAGCGGUAAGGCCCUUUCGGGGGUACGACGAGCGGCGAACGGGUAGAGUAACACGUGGGUGACCUCGCCCUCAGCUCUGGGAGUAAGCCUCGGGAAACCGGGUACUAAUACUGGAUAUGACUCCAUGACGCAUGUUGGUGGGGUGGAAAGCCUUGUGCGGCUGAGGAUGGGCCCG